rnacentral:rRNA from 1 species
UACAGGGGGGGCAAGCGUUGUUCGGAAUUACUGGGCGUAAAGGGCCAGUAGGCGGCCAACUAAGUCCGACGUGAAAUCCCCAAGCUUAACUUGGGAACUGCGUCGGAUACUGGAUGGCUUGAAUUCGGGAGAGGGAUGCAGAAUUCCAGGUGUAGCGGUGAAAUGCGUAGAUAUCUGGAGGAAUACCGGUGGCGAAGGCGGCAUCCUGGACCGACAUUGACGCUGAAAGGCGAAAGCUAGGGGAGCAAACGGG